UACAGAGGGGGCAAGCGUUGUUCGGAAUUACUGGGCGUAAAGGGCGCGUAGGCGGCCCGCUAAGUCGAACGUGAAAUCCCCGGGCUCAACCCGGGAACUGCGUCCGAUACUGGUGGGCUUGAAUCCGGGAGAGGGGUGCGGAAUUCCAGGUGUAGCGGUGAAAUGCGUAGAUAUCUGGAGGAACACCGGUGGCGAAGGCGGCAUCCUGGACCGGUAUUGACGCUGAGGCGCGAAAGCCAGGGGAGCAAACGGG
rnacentral:rRNA from 1 species